GUCCCUGCCUGCAGCUGUGGCACGGCAAUGACCUACAGCCCGUGCUCCUCCCAUUGAUGUGGGUGCACGCAGACUUUGCAGGGUCCAAGCUCUGCAUUUUAGUACUCAUUUUGAAUGAGUUUUCUUUAAAUCACGUUUAUUUUCGAUGUUGGCUUUCUCGGGACCGCAUUCAGGAUCUGAGCUUUCUGCAUCAGAAUCCAAGACAACUCCUCAUUUUGUUGAAGAAUUGUCCAGAAAUGAAGAAGACUUUCCUGUCAGAGGGAGAUUUCUCUGCCAUGGAUCUCAUCUGGGUUCUGGAAACUACUGUUCCCCUGAGAAAAUGAAGGGAAUAUGGACCUCUCCAGGAGUCAAAUUUCUGUCUUUUGCAUACCUGCACUGAUUGGGCUUCCAAGGUGGGAGAUUUCUUACCUUCUCCUUUGGAUAGUAACAGCAGAGCAUUUGUUUGGUCCACCUUGCCCAGGGAGGAGGCUACCAUCAGCACUAGUGGGCAUGCAGGUUCAGAGAGAUGGGCAGGAUCUGCAUGAGCCUUGAACCAAGACUGCUGAACACAAUGUCAGUAGGUGUUUUGCUUGACUUUACACUCCAUGUUUGGGCAUGUUUGAAAGCAGGCAAGGCAGUUGACUGAAUGCAUUCAGAUCUCCAGCCCAGAGGAGAUGACAAUUUAAUUUUGAAUCACAGAAUCACAGAGUAACACAGAAUCACAGAACUGCAGCGGUUGGAAGGGACCUCAUGAAAACGAAUCCAGCUCCCCUGCUAAAGCAGGUACCCUACAGCACGUUGCAUAGGUAGGUGUCCAGAUGGAUCUUGAAUAUUCCCAUAGAAAGAGACCCCACAACCUCUCUGAGCAGCCUGUUCCCCUUACUGUAAAGAAGUUCUUCUGCAAGUUGGUACAGAACUUCCUAUGUUCAAGUUUUAGGUAAUUGUUCCUUGUCCUGUUGUUACACACCACUGAGAAUAGACUGGCCCCAUCCAUUUGCCUUUGACCUCCCUUUAGAUAUUUAUAAACAUUUAUCAGAUCUCUCCUCAGUCAUUUCACCAGGUGAACAGACCCAGGUUACUCAGACUUUCCUCAUAUGUGAGAUGGUCCAAGUCCUUUACCAUCUUUGUGGCCCUCCACCAGUCUCCUUCUAGGAGAUCGCUGUGUUUUUUGAACUGAGGAGCCCAGAACUGGACACAGUACUCCAGAUGUGGCAUCAUCAGGGCAGAGUAGAGGGGGAGGAUCACUUCUGUUGACCUGCUGGCCAUGCUGAUGACCAGCAGGAUGAGCUAAAAAAAAUAGGAGAUGAGGUUGCCCAUAGAUGCAACCCUCUUGGAGCUUCUCUAAAACAAGCCCAUCUGUUUGCUCAUAUUUACCCUGUCUGGAUGAUGCUACAGACUUUUUUGCAGCUAUCAUUUCCCAGUGUUGUUGAAUUCAGGGUGGAAAUAGUGGUGAGAACAUUUUCCUGGGACUCUUCCUCCCCUCUGAACUGAAAUGGAGCCCACCCCUGGCAAGAGAUGGGCAGGUGGAAGACAGCGUAAGUGUUGUGUGGAAAGGGACACUGACCUGCUCUGUCGUCUCUGAUGAAUUACUUCCACAAAGCAGCAACGUGGUUAUCUUUAACAAGAACUUUGUCCAGCACAGCGAGGCUUUGCUUCAGCUUCGCCACUGUGGAAUACUCUCAUAACUUUAAUUCAUAUCAGGGGUCGAUUGUGAGUUUAAAUAUAUGCAAUGCACUUUUAAGUCUUGUGCAAACAAAGACCAGACAGGGACUGGGACAAACUGAUGCAUGAGCAACCAUGUUGUUCCUUCUCCAGUCCAAGAACUGGAUUCUUUCACAAAAUCCUCUGUGUGGCAGUGAUAACAAGACAAAUAUUUGACAUAGCUGUAAGAUAACACUCUGACACACUAGUAAACACAAGUGAAUUAGUGGUUAUGAGAGAGACCCCAUGACACAGUUGCUUGCAGUAAGUUGGAUGCCAUCUCUUAGAAGACUUCUUGCAACCUGUUCUUAUCGGUUUUUGGUACAGAUUAAUGGGGAGUCUUCCAGUAGGAUUUGGGUUACUGUCUGGCAUAGACACUUUUGAAAAUCUUACCUUAUCUCUAUGUAAUGACUAUGUAAUUCAUGCAGUGUGUUGAAGGUACACUUGAAAAAGUAGGUCUGGAUCGUAAUAUCCCUCCCUGCAUCCUUCUUUCCCAUCAGGCCAAAAUGGCACACCUCUGUGUGUGCUGGAUUACAAUUUAUGCUGAAAAUGUUCCACAAAGGUCAUAGCAGCUAUCUGAGGAACAAGCAGAGCUGUGCACCCUGCCCUGUGCUCAUGUAGAUUACCAGAGGUAGCAAUAAGGCCAGGGACUGUGUGCAGUAAGGAAAACUAGAGAAACUUGGAAACUGCGCAGGCUUUAGAUUGUAGAGUGUUACCAAGGGCUCAGAUGGGAGAGUUUACCAGAAGAAGUGCAAUUUAGAAAUUGAAACAGAUGGAAUUUCAGUAUCCUUUGCAAAUUGGCGUAUCAGACUCCUACAAUAGCUUGCAGAAUCCUUGUCCCUCCCAGUGCAUAGCUGGUUCUUACUCCCUGAACUUGAUUUGUUAACAUCUGAUGUCGAAGGGUCUGUUUCUUAUUUUUGUUGAGUUAUACCUUAAAUGUGUCCUUUUUGGCUACUUAUGUUCUCAUUUCUGCAAAGCGGCAGCCAAGCAGGGGCCCAAGAGCUCAUUCCUGGCCUUCAGAUUUAUUCCCAUCGCUUUGAUGGGUUGAGUCUGGUGCUGCCUGUAUUGCAGAGCACCUGGAUGGGGCGAUCACAGGCAUUCACUGGCACUGUGAUCUCAGCUGUGGAAACAAUUCUGCUGGCAGCAGAAGCUCAGUUUCACUGGGGAGGGGCCCAUAUUUCUUGUUUGAAGUGUGUGAAGCCUCAUCACAGUUCUGUUAUCAGACCCACUGGAAUUUUUUCCUUUCCUCUCUUCUUGGUCCACCUUCUCUCAUUCCUCUAAAUCUUACUUUACUUCUGCUUCUUCUCAAAGUCCCUAAUGUUACUUUUCUGGCUCUUUUUUUCUGUAAUCUCUCCCUUCAUUUUUUCUUCACCCAUUAGCUCUUCCUUCACAAUGCUCCUCUACUGCCUCCUCCAUUUUCUCUGCCUCUCUUGUUCACUUUCCAGGUGCCUCUCAUUCUUCUCCCCAUGUCCUCACUUUCAUUUCUUCUCCAGAAGCUCUCUGAAUUGCUGCAGCUAUGGGGUAUACCCCUUGGAAAGAUAGCCCUGUCUGAGUUAGAGGUGCUGUGAGCUGCAGGUCUGUUGCUGAUGUUAGUAUUUUUUUUGACAAGUGACACAGGUGACACAAGUGACACAGGGGGCCCAUGGAGCCAAGUAGCGUAGCUGGGCAGUAGAAGGCAGCUUAUGCCACAAAAGACAUCACUUGCUCCAUGGACCAAAAGAGAUUACAGCCCCAUUCCGACACAUAAACCAUUGAGGUUUACUGAAAAUAAGGAUUGAUUUGCUGGGCUAUUUAGAGGCAUUAAGAUGCAGAUAUAUAUUUUCUCCCCAGUCUGAUGUCAUUUUGCAUGUUAACUGCCUAAUUCCUUUUAGCCUAUUGAUUUUACUGGUUUAUAAGAAUGACACUUGUGUAGAAACUGUGGAGAACUUUGCUCAGGGUGACCAGUGAAGACUGUCAGUUUCUCUCAGUCGUCUUAUGGGGGGACUGAAGGCUCAGCACAGUUUAAGAGGAGAAAAAAUAGGGAGAGAAAGAACAAUGGCACUUCAUAGACCAUACUCCUUAGGUUGUAUCUGACUCUGGCUAAAUGACCUGGACUGAAAAAUGUUUUCCUGAGGCUCAGCUCAGCUGACAUCUGCAGCAUGGUCCUCAUAUUUUGUGAUAGUCGAGAGUGGUAUUCAUGAAAUUCUGUGUCAACUUCUUUAGCAUAUUAAGAUUGAAGAAUGCUAUGAAGUAAGCAUGAAUAUCAUUAUUCAAUUUCUCUUCCUUCUAGUAACUCUGAUUUACUUCAGAUUUUACGUGAUCUCCCAAUUAUCAGAGUUUGAUGUGCCACAGGUGUUUCUAUAAGCAUACUGUUGUAUUGCUUUUCGUUCCUUGGAGAACAGUUGAUGCUUUGCCAAUGUCUGAAUGGACCUGCUAACUCUGAGAGCAAAGAAGUGGUUAAUUUGAUAAUAUUUAACUUGCCAAACCAUUCAUAUGCAGAGGUAACGUGCUCAGGAGUUGAACAGGGCAGUGCGAUCUCCCUUAGCUAUCAUUUCAGGAUGCCUGCAGAAUCAGGAAGGCCGUGUAUCAGCUUACACUCAACUUGGUAAUCUUGCAUGGGGCCUGUUUGUGUCUCUUGUGCUGAAGGCUGAAUGUAAAAUGAACAUUGUUAGCCAAGAAAGCAAAUAAAGGGAACUAUUUCCCAAGGCAUUUUACUCUGUUUAUUUAACGCCUCUGAACAAACCCCUUUCCACAUCCUCUGAACCUACUGGCAACUUCAGAUAGCUCCAUUUCCUGCUGGGUGAGUUUUUUCUAAAAUGUUUAUUCAGCUCCAGGAAAUGAUGAUUUCCUGAAUAUUCUGAAACUUCAUAUUUUUGUUGUAUCCCUGUUUAUUUAAUAGUCUUACUUAUUGUGUGAGUGUGCAAAGCACAACAACAUCCCUUGCCAUGUAACUGUGGAAGGAGUGGAACUUGAUGUAGUACAUCAAAAACCAGUUUAAGUGAAACUAGAUCUGUUUUUGCCAAUUUAUACACUAGUGUAUUUCCAUUAGCUUGAGUAGUUACUCCUUAUUUACACUGACCUUAAUGAGUUCGGAAGUAGGCUUUUAAAUUUCUCCUACUCCUUAAGAAAAAGUGCCUAAAAAUUCAAACUAGUGAAGGAGAAUUAAUUAGCCCAAAGCUCAACAUUUUAUAAUUCACAGCUUACAUUAAUGUCUGCUAGUUUUCUUUAUGCAGGAAACCAAUAGAAGGCACCAAAUGUUUUCGUCGCCCUCCACUGGGACUAAAAUUGAGAAAUUCUUAUUUUCUGAGGUCAAAGCUAACCUGUAUCCAGCACCCCAUCCCAACAUGGGUUUCACUAAAGAGAUUGAAACCUGUACACAGCCUUAAUGAAAAGGCCAUAAUAUUUUAUGUGAACCAGGAGUAACUAUGCUGAAAUGAGAAGUGCUUCACUAAGGUAAAUCAAGUGGGAUUGGUCCCAAAAGAAAUUCAGGAAUUACAUAGCUUUGCCAUUAACCUUGAACUGAGCCAAGUGUGUCUUCCAUGCUUUCUCCUUCUUUCUUGUCUACUUUUUGUUAACCUGCAUGGUCAGCUAUGACUUUUUUUUUUUUUCUUUUCUUUUUACAGGCAGAAAAGGUAAUUUAUGUUUCUUCUGAGCCUCAAGAGACAAUAUGGGCAUGCUGCGUUACCAUGCCCUAAAUGAAAUCUUAGAGUACCUAAGUAAAACUCACUCCACCCUUACCUGGAAGUUCCACUCAUGGAAACCACAUCCUUUCAUUGCCACCCACGUCUCCAUUCGGAAAGGACUUUGAAGGAGGAAGACUGAAGAUUAGAUCAUUCUUUUAUUAAGCAUCCUUUUGUCUGUUUUGCUCCAGAAACCAUGCUCUUCCUCUCCUAUGAGUCAUUUGUUGUUACUCUUACAACGUCUGUGGUAGGAAGGCUGGGUGCUUUCCCCCAAUUUAAAAUGUUCUUUUUAGAGUCUCUUCUCUUCUCUUCUCUUCUCUUCUCUUCUCUUCUCUUCUCUUCUCUUCUCUUCUCUUCUCUUCUCUUCUCUUCUCUUCUCUUCUCUUCUCUUCUCUUCUCUUCUCUUCUCUUCUCUUCUCUUCUCUUCUCUUCUCUUCUCUUCUCUUCUCUUCUCUUCUCUUCUCUUCUCUUCUCUUCUCUUCUCUUCUCUUCUCUUUUUCUUCCCUUCCCUUCCCUUCCACUCCCUUCCCUUCUCCCUUUCCUCUCCUCUCCCUUUCUCCUCCCCUCCCCUCCCCUCUCCUCCCUUCCUUCCUUCCAUGUCCCUUCUUUGUUUUUUGUUAUGCAUUUCAUAUUCAUUCACUAUUUUUACCCAAUUCAGACAGAGCCAUGCUACAUUGUGGACUAUUGCCAAAAAUUCUGCCAGUGACAAAGAUUGAAGCCUUCAUACGAACUGGAAGGAGUCUGUUCUUGGUCCACCCCAUGUGAAGCAACACUGUGCCCAUGCAUCUCUAUCUGAGAUGAAUAUUCUUUCUUUUGAUGCCAAGUAUUUGAUGUCCACCUACUGAGCUGAGUAAUCUCUGAGGAUGCCAUUGUUGCCAUGUUACCUCCUUCCUGAGUUCCUGUUGUGUAACUUUCCCACCAAUGUCUAUACUGGAUGGUGAAAAGAAGAAUGAAGACGAGGCAGCCAGUGCUGUCAGCUUUUCUUCCACCUGAUUCAGGCUUUGGCCAUGCCCUGUAUCUGCUCCAGAAAGCCAAGGCUUCAGAUGAAGGAUGGAAGAAGGAAAGCAGGAGGCUGGGAAAUGAUUUUGGUCAUGUCCACGCUGGCAGGGCCUGAAUCUUGAUAUGUUUGCUGUAUGAUACUACCACAAUUCCUUAAGGAGUAACAUGAUAGUUUUCUGCAGAGGAAUGUUUUCUGAACAUGGCCAAAAUAUGGCAUUUGGAAAAGUGAGCUGCACAUCAUUUCUCCAAAUGAGAAUGCAAAUAGCGGAGAAUGCAAAUAGCUGGCCUUUUAAAGCCUCCCUGAAAAUUUCAUAGACAACUCAGAUCAAUAUGAUUUAAAGGACUUCUCUCCUGACAACACUAACCCUAUGGAUAGUCCCUCCCAUGCUGUCUGUGAUCAUCCUACCAGGCCCUGCUGCCAGCAUGAAAAAUACAAUAUCAAGUUUGAGGAAAUCUGUGGCAGAAAAUAAUACCAACUUUUGCAUGUACUACUGAGUAACUGGACUCCAAAAGUGAAACAGAGAGAGUGACAAGUAAUGAUGGACAAGAAAAGGCUCAUCCCUUAGACACAAAGCAAGCUCCAAGAUCUGCUCUUCCUACUUGUGUUAUAUUUACCUUGUCUUUCUGUACUGUGGAGACACAGGAACUCACAGGGCAUGGUGAUCCAAGCUUGCAAAUGGAAACAAGGUCUACAGUCUCGGUGAGGAAGCUGGCAUGGUGGGGUGUGUUAAGGCCCACAACAUAUUACAUGAUGAUGGAUUGAUGGGACCACAUCAAGGGGCCCUGAGAGCAAUGUGGCUCUUUGGGUAAGAGGAGAUGGCAGAAUCAGAGGAACAUCGUUAGUUAACCCACCCACAGUGCGGGAGAGACCUCAAAACCAACAAACAAUAGGUUAGAAGCUCACAGCUGGAGGUGGCAGCCCCAUAAUAACACCAGUGACAAAAAUCAAAGGAAUAAGAAGGAGCAGUUAACAUUUCCUCCACAAAUGCUAAAAACAGCACCAAAUAAUGUGUAUGAAUCAUCAUAUCUACUCUUACGCAAGCUGGAAUAAAAAUGUAAGAGUCAUGCAAACUGGGAUAAACUGUCACGCUCUGAGACAUAAUGCAUCUCCAGAAGUAAAGAAGAAACUGUUCCACAGGAAGAAGUGCAGCAUCAGAAGAUGCUAGAUCCCUUGCAGGAGGAGCUGACAGCACGGUGAUCAUCUUCUGGAUCUGAAGUAGGUCCUGUGAUAUCUGGCAUUUUCUUCAUUUUUCUUUAACCUUGUGACUCUUCAACCCUGCAGAGAUUACUUAAAAAGCAAGAAACCUACUGAAGACAACAUCAAAACAAAUAAAAAUAACAGUUUAAAUUAACAAAUCACUGAAAAACUGAGAAAACACAUGAAUUUUAAGCUGAUCCCAUGAUUGCAAAGACUGGAAUCGUGACUUGGAACUCUUGUGUUCGAACACAGUGGCCUGCCCUGUGUGAUUUGGAGGGCAAGCACCAAAUGUUUCAUGAGCCUGGUGCAGUCACAGGGCUGAGAUACACAGAUAUUAGGUCUAAUGGUGAAAGCUGCCCAGCAUCUGUCAUUCCCACAGAAGCCAAUGGAAACGGCAAGCACUCAGCUCUGAAGGAUCAGGCCUUUAAUCAUUAAUAUGUUUC
rnacentral:lncRNA from 1 species